CAAGGCUUGACAUGAACCGGAAAGACCUGGAAACAGGUGCCCCGCUUGCGGUCGGUUUACAGGUGGUGCAUGGUUGUCGUCAGCUCGUGUCGUGAGAUGUUGGGUUAAGUCCCGCAACGAGCGCAACCCUCGUUCUAUGUUGCCAGCGGUUCGGCCGGGGACUCAUAGGAGACUGCCGGGGUCAACUCGGAGGAAGGUGGGGACGACGUCAAAUCAUCAUGCCCCUUAUGUCUUGGGCUUCACGCAUGCUACAAUGGCCGGUACAAAGGGUUGCGAUACUGUGAGGUGGAGCUAAUCCCAAAAAGCCGGUCUCAGUUCGGAUUGGGGUCUGCAACUCGACCCCAUGAAGUCGGAGUCGCUAGUAAUCGCAGAUCAGCAACGCUGCGGUGAAUACGUUCCCGGGCCUUGUACACACCGCCCGUCAAGUCACGAAAGUUGGUAACACCCGAAGCCGGUGGCCUAACCCUUGUGGGGGGAGCCGUCGAAGGUGGGACCGGCGAUUGGGACU
rnacentral:rRNA from 1 species